UACGUAGGUGGCGAGCGUUGUCCGGAUUACUGGGCGUAAGCGCGCGCAGGCGGUUCUGUAAGUCCUGGGUGAAAUCGCCCGGCUCAACUGGGCGGGGGCCUGGGGGACUGCGGGACUGGAGGGGCCUAGAGGCCGGUGGAACUCCCGGUGUAGUGGUGAAAUGCGUAGAUAUCGGGAGGAACACCUGUGGCGAAAGCGGCGCACUGGACCAUAACUGACGCUGAUGCGCGAAAGCUAGGGGAGCAAACAGG
rnacentral:rRNA from 1 species